GAUGAACGCUGGCGGCGUGCCUAAUACAUGCAAGUCGAGCGAACAGACGAGGAGCUUGCUCCUCUGACGUUAGCGGCGGACGGGUGAGUAACACGUGGAUAACCUACCUAUAAGACUGGGAUAACUUCGGGAAACCGGAGCUAAUACCGGAUAAUAUAUUGAACCGCAUGGUUCAAUAGUGAAAGACGGUUUUGCUGUCACUUAUAGAUGGAUCCGCGCCGCAUUAGCUAGUUGGUAAGGUAACGGCUUACCAAGGCAACGAUGCGUAGCCGACCUGAGAGGGUGGUGGGCACCUGAGGAAGUGAGAGGCCGCCCAGGCUCCUAGGGGAGGCACAGAUAGGGACUGUUGCGAAAAGGGGGAAAGCUUGACGGAGGGACGGCAGGUUGGUGAAGCAGGGCUUCGGGCCGGAAAACGGUUUUAUGGGGGAAAACCAAAUGUGUAUGUAACUAAGCGGGAGUGAAGGGAACCAAUAAAGAAGCCCCGGCCAACUACGUG
rnacentral:rRNA from 1 species